AGGAAAAGAAACCAACAGGGAUUGCCCUAGUAACGGCGAGUGAAGCGCAACAGCUCAAAUUUGAAAUCUGGCUUCGGCCCGAGUUGUAAUUUGCAGAGGAAGCUUUAGGCGCGGCACCUUCUGAGUCCCCUGGAACGGGGCGCCAUAGAGGGUGAGAGCCCCGUAUAGUUGGAUGCCUAGCCUGUGUAAAGCUCCUUCGACGAGUCGAGUAGUUUGGGAAUGCUGCUCAAAAUGGGAGGUAAAUUUCUUCUAAAGCUAAAUACCGGCCAGAGACCGAUAGCGCACAAGUAGAGUGAUCGAAAGAUGAAAAGCACUUUGAAAAGAGGGUUAAAUAGCACGUGAAAUUGUUGAAAGGGAAGCGCUUGUGACCAGACUUGCGCCGGG
rnacentral:rRNA from 1 species